rnacentral:ncRNA from 1 species
GAAUAAAGCGUGCUAAGCAUCAUCGUGAAUAUGAUUACAGCGCCUGCGAUGGCAUAUAACCGUAUUGCGGCUGGAGCGUCACGUGAGGACUGUGAAGCACAAUGCGAUAUGUUCUGAUUAUAUGGCGAGUUUGCUUAAUGACAUGUUUUUAGCCGAACGGUGUCAAGUUUUUUAAUGUGGUUGUGAGGUUUUUGCUUUUAAAUAUCAAAGAGUUGUAUGGCGAGUUUGUUGUUCUAUAGUGGCUAAACACUUUUAUGGUUUCUGUUAAAUAUAUAUGCGUGAGAAAAAUUAGCAUUCAAAUCUAUAAAAGUUAGAUGACAUUGUAGAACCGGUUACCUAAAUGAGCGAUAGAGUGCUUCGGUAGUAA